UAAAGUUUAGUUUGAGAUAGAAGCUCAGAGGUCAUAGACUGAAAAGAGCCAUUCUUUGUGCCAUUUGGAUAGAAUGAGAGCAGUCACUGCUAUAGCAGUUGUAGCUGUAGAGGCCAUAAGAAUGUCCAAGAAUCUCUCAGGGUGCACUCUCUCUAGAGCAGAGGUGACUUGCUCCAGGGCAGAAUUCCCCAUCCAUUGUCCUGUGAGGUUAACAGGUAACCAAGCUUCUGCUCUCUGGUUUAGAGGCACGAGGGCCAGGACGACCUUGCAGUCAGGACGCGAGUGUUUAGUAAGCAUCUGGGAAUAAGGUUCUCCUUGAUCC